CUAUUCCAGUUUUGAGUUUUUUUCUUUCGUUUUGCUUUGUCUUCCUUCAUUUUGGGUGGGGACAGAAAACAGCCUCCAGAAGAACAGGAAUUCAGCUGUGAGUCAGAUUGAAACUAGUCCAAGUAUGCCUUAAUGACAAAACAUGCUUUGUUAAAGUGAGUGUCAUUGGGAAGCAGAGGAAGUGUUCCACCUGCUGCUGGUUUGAUUCGUUCUUUCUGAUGAGAAGGAUGAAGAUUGUGUCUGACAGAGCCAAACUUAAAAAAAAAAAAAAAAAAAGCAGAAAAAAAGCUUUGAUGCAAUGCAGUUCAGGUGCUGCUUUUCCAUCCGCCUGCCCACUUAAUUGCCUGGGUGGGAGGGGAGCCCAGCAGCCAGGUGUUGCGGCCCAUGGUGCGUCAGCAAGAAGGCCCGGAGGAGGGAGGAUCAGCCUUUCCGAAUGACGGGGAUUGGGGCUUCCAACCUGCUCGCGAGUUGGCGGAGUAAACCAAACCCAGGUGAUUCACGAGCCGCAGGUUCCCAAUGAAGCGGCGUGGUGAUUGCUCGGGGGGAUUAGAUGGGAGCCCCCCACGGCGCUGGCUCUCCCCCACGAAGUCUCCUCGUCCUCGAAGCCCCUCUGGAAGCCGCGGUCAACGUGUGGGUCGUCGUCACCCCCCGGUCGUGCUGCCUGGCUGCUGAGCGCCUGCGAGAAACGGGCGCCGAAAGCCGUAUUCUGCAAAGCCUGUGAUUCCUCUGGGUUGGUUUAUCUCGGACUCUUCCCUAGGGAGGCUGAUGCUGGCCCGGCUGCGCUCUGGCGUGUCCGGGCUGGUGGGUGGUGGUCAGGAGCUGGGGGCUCUGGGGACGGCGGAAAAGCCCCUUCCCGCGGGAGCGUGCUGGGACGGCGCAGGGGACGCUGGCGCCCAGCGGGGAGGUGGCUGGUGCCUGUGAUCGUGAAACCCGAAGGCAUGAAUGAAAUAACAGUGCUCAAAUGCCUGUUUCUAACAAAAUAACAAACUGUAGAGAGGAGUGUUACUGCUGAAUGUGGCGUUUCUUAGGAAGGCAGUGAUAUUCUGGAGGGACACGGCUCAUAUGAGCGUUUUGUGUGUCUUUUACUAGCGCUGUACACCAUCAGGUUAAAAUAUCUUGUUACUACCGAGAAACAAAGUAACUCAGUCUUGUUUGUUGAAUGAUAUAAAUACUAUAUUCAGUAUUUUUACAGAAAUGUGAAAGAGAACUGGCCUUUGAGCAGAUAAAAUGCUCUUUUAAUAUAAACUGGGAAGAUUCUGAAAUGCAGUGCAAUGGAAGCAGAAAUCACAAGGGUGAUAAAGGGUCACUUCUGGAGCAAUAAUCAAAUAUUGCAGCAUGCACAUCAUGUUUUUCGUAACAAUUUAAAUCAAAGAACAAGAGGUAACAAAAUGAGACUUUUUUAAAAAAAAAAAAAGGAGAAAAUGUUCUUUCAGAUGGCUUUAUUAGUCCAGUUUAUAGGAAUAUAGAAUGUGAUGGUGCCUUGCAGACAUGUUUUGCUGGUUGCAUUAGGAUUUUUGAUAUAUCAGUCUUGCGCGUUAGCUCGGACUGUUCCUAAAGGCGCGUUGCCCUUACCGCCUUACCGAGACAAACGUGCUGGAAGCUGUGAGGCCGUUAGUCUUCGCACUCUGCAUCAAAACAUUAAGCAAUUUUAAAUAAAAUGGGCUUGUACUGAAUGAAGAGGACUAGAAAUUAAUGAUCCCUGCUGAAUGGCCUGUGCCUCCCAGCAGUGAAGAACUGGUGAAGAACAUCAGAAACGGCAAAUACGCAGCCCAUGCAACCCGGAGGCACGAGGCUCAGCGAAGGUGCUGUUGGGUCCUUUCCUUCCCCGCUGCUGCGACGAGCAAAAUCCCGGUGCGGUGCUGGUGCAGGUGCAGCAGCCGUGGGAGCUCAGCUCUGCCUGCCUCGCCCUCCUUGCGCCUCGGGGCGGAUUAGCUUGCCUGCAGCGCAUGCGUCCGUCUUGCUGCAGCGGAGCUGCGUGCAGACGUGUUACCUGGCAAAGGCGCGCUGCGGCGUACGCUGCUCUUUGACUGAGAGAGACGGGAGGGAUGGUAGGAGGAACGGCGUUUGAGACAAAAUUUUACUGCUCUGGCCCACUAGUAUCUUCUGCUAUACUAAAUUUCUUCAGAGUCAUUACACCUAGCCACAAAAAGCUAUUAAUGUGAUGAAUUACUAUAACUUGACUAAGUAGUAAGUAGUAGAUUUGCAAGCUUUCAGCAAUUUUUGGCAUGGUUAACCUCUCUGUUGAUGGAGCAAAAUGCAAAUGCAGACACUUACAAACUGGCUGUUCAGUGGUAUUUGCUUCCCAGCCUUUCUGUUGAUACUGCCUGCGCAGUAUUUGUGCAAAUCUGCGACUGGGCUAAGAGAACUUCAGACAAACGGCGCAGUGCUUGAAGACUUAGCAAUGAAGGUAGGGCAAGCAGUGUUAAAAUACUGGUGGUUUCCUGUUUCUUCUGCGCAGCAGGGGCAAUUCAAAGACUUGGCAAAACGUCUGUGCCGCAAGCAGGAGAAGGGCAGAGGAGAAUGCCCUGAGAAAACCACGCAGCGCCUACUUUAAUUGUGAUCGGAAAAAUCAUCAAGAUAACCUAGAUCUUGGUAAUCGCUUGUGUUGUAACUUCAGAAUAAAAGAUCAAAACUACUCUUGCAUGUUCUCUGUUGGCAGGUGCUUAAUUUGCUAACUUGAGUAAUGCUUCCUAUUUGUGAUGCUGAGAACUGAAAAAGCUAAGCUUAAAAAUGAUUCUAAUUCUUAAGUGUCCAGAUUUGAGUUAUAAGGACUGAUGAUAAAUGACUGCUCAGAUCAAGCAAAGAGGCUGAUUAUGUGCUGAUUGCUUGGCUGCUUCUGGGGUGAGAAGAAGCUGGAGCAGCUGUGCAAAUGCAGCUUUUGUGGAAGUAAAAGACACAAUACUGAGUUAUGGCAAAAGGAUGCCAAAAGUACUUUUUAAUCUGAAAAAUAGUAUUUCUAAUAGGGUUAAAGGUGACUUAAACUUGUAAAUUUUAGUUCAGUACAGAAUUCUGCACUCUUCAGCAUUCUUAAAAUUUAGGAAGAAAAAAAUACUUCAGCUGAGUACUUCUUGAAGAGUUGGGCUUUUCUUCAUUAGGUGGGGUUACAUGCUGAAACCAACUGCUCCAUUAAGGGAUACUUUGCAGUAGUGUUCAAUAUAAAAAAGAUCUUAGAAUUGUGUUCCUUCUAAAAUGUAAAUAUCACAGAAAAGCAAAGCUCCCCUUUCUGAAAAUAAUGCUUUCUAAUCUAACUUCUUAGAUGCUCUGACAGCGGUGUUUAUAAACCUGCCUGUAGCUCUGCAGUCCUCUGGAUAUUGUUAUCCUCAUUCUGCGAAGAGGUAAAACGAGGCAAGAUCCAGUCGGGCGACUACUGCAGAGAAGAGACUCCUGCUCCGUCCUCGCCAGCUGCUAAGCAGACAACACUUUUACCCUGGCUUUGAAAUGAAGAGCUGCUCUUCUGGGUGUCUUCACUGCGGUGCUCGCGCAGGGGUCUCGGGGCGAUGCACGGAUGGGGCGCGUUGCCUGGGCUGCGGCUGGAUGAGCACACCUGACUGCGGUCUACGUGAUGAGUGACUGAUUGCAAAGGGUAAUUAGGUAAUGCAGUUAGGAGCAGGGAACACUAAGGCAGUUUGCAAGGCAGAGCUUGAAACUGCAACAUCAUACUGUUCUAAUGUCUUCUUUUAUAUGCACACACUGAGAAAAAAGAAGAUGCAUAGAAAAGAAUUUCAAGGCCUGCCUUGCAAAUAUAUUUAUACACACACAUAUAUAUUGUGUGUGUGUGUGUGAGAGAGAGAUAUAAAAAUUUCUAGGGCUUCGCCAGGCCCCUGCACUUGUUUUCCCUUCCCGAUCAGUUGGAGAGUUCUUCCGAUAGUCGUUUUCUUCCUCCUUUUGCUUGCCUGUCACUGCACGUUCUUUCCCAGGUUCCUGGAUGCUUUCUUCAACCUGCUCCUUAGUCACGAGCCUCUCAAGAGCCUGUUGAGUUCCCUGAUUCAUUUUUAGGGCUUUUCCGGAGUUCCUCAGGUGCCUGGAAUAGGAAACAGAGGUCCACAGCCCCUCCCCGCGCCGUCCCCUCGGCAGCCCUUUGCAGGCAGAGGCGAACCCUGCUCCUUGCGGGGAGGGAGCCCUCGCUGCACGGCCGAGUUCAGAGACUGGCAAAUAGGAUCAUCGUCCCCGGAAUCCGCGUUGAGGAGCCUCUUCCCUUUUCCUGUCAGGGGGAGUUAGAACAAGACUUGAAAGCAGAUGUCAGGAGGACCUGGAACUGGAAUGCUUAGUGUAAAGUGGCUAUUAACUGAUCGCCUCGUAGUGCCGCGCUGUGCCUCAGUCAUGUGCUUAUAAGGUUUACUAGAGGAAAUCCUCCUCCCGAACCAGCACAAUGGCUCUUGAGCUCCCCGGGCCAGUGGCAGCCAGCAAAAACAAACACGAUCCCGUUACAGUGCGCUUCUGCAGAGGCCUCACUUGGAAAGCUUACGUGGGAGGUUCAGACUACCACAAAAAAAUUAAAUCUAAAGAGCUGUUCUAAGGAGAAAGGCAAGGUGUGCCUCCAGCGCCCUCGGGGGCACGGACGGCUCCCACCCGGCACCAGGGAGCGGCUGGAGAUGCUGCCCGACGCGAGGGAAGCUCCCAGCACGCGCCCCGAUGCAGGAUCGUGCCUCUUCUUAGGAAGGCUGCUAACGGAGAGCUUCUUAUUUUUAUCUGGUUUACUCAAAAACCGACCUUCAAGAAUUAUGGGAAAAGUAUUCAUAUCGUCUCUGCUCUCAUAAUGGGUUCCUAGAUUUUCCACUUUGGAGUCUCAGAAACGCUACUGCAUUCACUGAUUUUUGACUUGAUACAAGCCGAAAUUAGGCAUACCUGCUUAAAAAUUGUUGAUAAAACUUAGGCUCUUCACGGAAAAACUUUAAGGAUGGAGACAAGAUGUUGUGUGACCGUUUUAAGAGACUUGCUUGACAUCUAAUGCUAGGUAAAUUAUCUUCGUAAGAUAUAACUUUACGCUUUAAUGACAGACCUCCAUCGAUAAGCCAAGUCCAUUGACUCCCUGUUAAAGCAAACUUCCACUCGUCCUGGGGGCCCGGUGCUGCUAAAUAAGCAAAGGAGAAACUUCUACCUUGCAUUUAAACUCUGCCCAUGGCUGCGGCUUUAAGUUAGUUAUGUGCAGAGCCUGCAGCCGGGAGGUGGGAGAAGGCUAAGGAGCGCUGCUCUCCCAAAGGCUUCGUUCGCCGGGUGACCGACCUGGAGAAAACAGCCCUGAAACGGCGGCUGGUGUCUCCAAGAAGCCAAAGUUCUGCUUUGAGGAUCAGCAGAGUACCCAAGACAGGUCUGUUUGCGCGUGCUUGUUUCCAGAGUGAAGUGUUUCUUACCCUUAGCACCCUUUGGUACUUUGCAAAACGCACUUUUGAGGCGAGUAGAUGGUCUGCAGGCAGCAGAAAGCCGGCCGUCCCGAGGGGAGCGUUGAAGCCGAAAGCCGGGGCCCUGGAAGCAGAGGUGCUGCUGCAACGCAGCCGGGCUCCGGCACCCACGGCCCAGGGCUGGGGGUGAGUUUAGAGGCGGCACUCGGAGGUGUCACCCCCCGGGCGCUGCUGGAGUCCCCUGCCGUGCGCAGCCUAGUUCAUUUUUCCAGAAACCUUCUUUUUAUGACGUGCUUUUCUGCUUACUGCCUUAAUGCGAAGGGUGCAACUUUAAAUGCCGAGUUAGAAACUCCAGCUUAUGUUUAAGGAGUAGGGUAAUGAUUAAGCCGAGGCUGCGGGGAUCCUGCCCUGUUCUUGGCUUGUAAGGACGGCGCUGACCGGUCCGCGCCCGGGCGAGCGCUGCUCUGGCUUUAUCGGAGCGGGUGCGGGAAGGGCCGUGCCCUGGAGCAGGCGUUCCCAGGCCCAGGUCGUUAGUCCGUGCCGUUUAAGAGCAGCACGACUGCUUCUGCAGACUGUUGGGGCGCAGAAAAAUAACUAAUGGCACUUUGGGCUAGCGUCAAAGUAAGACGACGGUGUCUUCUCUGCCCGCUGUGGUCUGGGUCUGUCGCUGCGUUUUGGCCAAGUGGUGGGUGUGUGAGCCCCUCCGUAGAUCCCCUGCGAUUUGUGAUUACAGAAAAAUCCUGUAACUUGUAUUUUGACUUGGUUGGAAUCAGAUCCUAGGUAAGAGGCAGACAAAGUAAUAAUUCUUUUUCUCCUUUUUUUCUUUGAUUUGAUAACUUCUUUUAAUAUAUUCAUGAAAGGAUGGGUCUGAGCAUGUGCGAAUGAGAGCUUUUUGAAGGGGAAAUUCAAUGGUCUUCCCUGCCUGCGUUUUAAAAAAGCAAAAACAAAAAACCUUGAAUGGACUGAAAUCAUAUCUUCUUAAAAGCAGAUGCUUUUGUUGUUUUGCUAGCCUGAUUGAGUGGAAUGGUUUCUUCGUUCUCUGAGCCGUUUUCAAGCUGAAACGUAGGGACUGGGGCUUCUGGCAGCGCUCAGAGCCAUGCUGCGGUCAGUGGAGCUCUGUGCUUGGAAUAUCUGAAAAGAGUGCCCCUGUGAAAAGGGGUGCCCGAUCCCCUCCUCCUCCUCAAAAAAUAAAUAAAUAAAAAUAAAAGAAAA